rnacentral:rRNA from 1 species
UACGUAGGGCGCAAGCGUUGUCCGGAAUUAUUGGGCGUAAAGAGCUCGUAGGCGGCCUGUCGCGUCUGCUGUGAAAUCCCGGGGCUUAACCCCGGGCGUGCAGUGGAUACGGGCUGGCUGGAGGCAGGCAGGGGAGAACGGAAUUCCCGGUGUAGCGGUGAAAUGCGCCAGAUAUCGGGAGGAACACCGGUGGCGAAGGCGGUUCUCUAGUACGGUACUGACGCUGAGACGCGAAAGCGUGGGGAGCGAACAGG